UGAUGAUCGUGGUAAGGAUGCAGACGAGGAUGGAGGGGAUAUAAUUUCAGGUCUCCUCUGCAAGAUUGUGGUUCAGUUUGAGAAACAUGGGGACUUCUAUAAUGCUCUUAAAGUCUUAUGUGGACGCUCAUUGCAGAAGCAAGGGUCUCGAUUGAAGGCUGAUUAUGAUGUAACCUGGACCAAGGAUAGCUUCUUCCAAAAGUCAAGUAGUCAAGCAAAAGAAAAGAGUGAUAGGAUGCCAGCAGUGGGAGGAGGGCACUACAGAAAUGAAGGUCCUAGACAUGAAAGAUACAUUUCUCAGUUCACUUCUGAUGAUUCACGACGGAAGAGAUUCAAGGAAUAGGGAUUGUGAAACAUGGUGACAAUUUUUCUCCAGUUUGGACUUUUCACAAGAAGCCAAUUCUUGCUGCUG
rnacentral:misc_RNA from 1 species